rnacentral:rRNA from 1 species
UACGUAGGGUGCGAGCGUUGUCCGGAUUUAUUGGGCGUAAAGAGCUCGUAGGCGGUUUGUCGCGUCGGCCGUGAAAUCUCCACGCUUAACGUGGAGCGUGCGGUCGAUACGGGCAGACUUGAGUUCGGUAGGGGAGACUGGAAUUCCUGGUGUAGCGGUGAAAUGCGCAGAUAUCAGGAGGAACACCGGUGGCGAAGGCGGGUCUCUGGGCCGAUACUGGCGCUGAGGAGCGAAAGCGUGGGGAGCGAACAGG